GUAAAAUAUAUAUAGUGCUUGUGCACAUGUACAUUCCAGGUCAAAACUGCCAACAUCAUCACAGGCAAUGAUACUGUCAUCUCUGCGAUCUCUGUGAUCACUGCAUUUCAUGUUGUUGUAUUCUUUGUUUCAUUUGUAAAAUCCUAUGGAGCCUUGGUGGGAUAACACCUGAAACAGAAAAGCAUGCCUCUGAAUCAGCAGGACUUGGACUGGUCUCCAUAGUUUUCCUUAAGGUCACAGGGUCACAGGGUGAAGUAUAUCCUCAUUGAUUUUUGGAUGAACAGAAUAGUCUCCGAGUCAAGAUGGUCCUACUACAUCAGUCUACUCUCACUUGCAGGCAGUAGCUCCAUCGAGGAAGGGUUCAAGGGCCAUUCUGAUGGCAUGGUCGUCAUCGUCGUCAUCUCCUCCUGCAAGCUGGUGGCCCUGAUCCUGCUCCAGGUCUUCAUACUCUUGGC